UCCGCGGUAGCUCAGUUGGUAGAGCGCCUCCCUGUUAAGGAGGAUGUCCCAGGUUCGAGCCCUGGCCGCGGAGCAA
rnacentral:tRNA from 3 species